rnacentral:rRNA from 1 species
GACGAACGCUGGCGGCGUGCUUAACACAUGCAAGUCGAACGGUGAAGCGCCUUCCUUUUUGGUGGGUGUGGAUGAGUGGCGAACGGGUGAGUAACACGUGAGUAACCUGCCCCCUUCUUCUGGAUAACCGCAUGAAAGUGUGGCUAAUACGGGAUAUUCUGGGUCUGUCGCAUGAUGGGUCUGGGAAAGAUAUUGUUUCGGUGGGGGAUGGGCUCGCGGCCUAUCAGCUUGUUGGUGGGGUGAUGGCCUACCAAGGCGGUGACGGGUAGCCGGCCUGGGAGGGUGGACGGGCACACUGGGACGGAGACACGGCCAAGACUCCUACGGGAGGCAGCAGUGGGGAGUAUGGCACAAUGGGCGCAAGCCUGAUGCAGCGACGCCGCGGGAGGGAUGGAGGCCUGCGGGUUGUGAACCUCUUUCGCCAGUGAAGCAGGCCUGCCUCGUUUGUGGGUGGGUUGACGGUAGCUGGAGAAGAAGCGCCGGCUAACUACGUG